GAUGAACGCUGGCGGCGUGCCUAAUACAUGCAAGUCGAGCGAACAGACGAGGAGCUUGCUCCUCUGACGUUAGCGGCGGACGGGUGAGUAACACGUGGAUAACCUACCUAUAAGACUGGGAUAACUUCGGGAAACCGGAGCUAAUACCGGAUAACAUGUUGAACCGCAUGGUUCAACAGUGAAAGACGGUUUUGCUGUCACUUAUAGAUGGAUCCGCGUCGCAUUAGCUAGUUGGUAAGGUAACGGCUUACCAAGGCAACGAUGCGUAGCCGACCUGAGAGGGUGAUCGGCCACACUGGAACUGAGACACGGUCCAGACUCCUACGGGAGGCAGCAGUAGGGAAUCUUCCGCAAUGGGCGAAAGCCUGACGGAGCAACGCCGCGUGAGUGAAGAAGGACUUCGGAUCGUAAAACUCUGUUAUUAGGGAAGAACAAAUGUGUAAGUAACUAUGCACGUCUUGACGGUACCUAAUCAGAAAGCCACGGCUAACUACGUG
rnacentral:rRNA from 1 species